rnacentral:rRNA from 1 species
CGAAAGCCUGACGGAGCAAUACCGCGUGAGGGAUGACUGCCUAUGGGUUGUAAACCUCUUUUCUCAAGGAAGAAGUUCUGACGGUACUUGAGGAAUAAGCAUCGGCUAACUCUGUGCCAGCAGCCGCGGUAAUACAGAGGAUGCAAGCGUUAUCCGGAAUCACUGGGCAUAGAGCGUCUGUAGGUUGCCUACCAAGUCUGCUGUUAAGGAUCAGGGCCUAACCCUGGGAAAGCAGUGGAAACUAGUAGGCUUGAGUGUGGUAGAGGUAGAGGGAAUUCCUGGUGUAGCGGUGAAAUGCGUAGAUAUUAGGAAGAACACCAAUGGCGAAAGCACUCUACUGGGCCACAACUGACACUGAGAGACGACAGCUAGGGGAGCAAAUG